rnacentral:rRNA from 1 species
AAUCAACGCUGGCGGCGUGCUUAACACAUGCAAGUCGAGCGGUAAGGCCCUUUCGGGGGUACACGAGCGGCGAACGGGUGAGUAACACGUGGGUGACCUGCCCUCAGCUCUGGGAUAAGCCUGGGAAACUGGGUCUAAUACCGGAUAUGACCCCAUGACGCAUGUCGUGGGGUGGAAAGCCUUGUGCGGCUGAGGAUGGGCCCGCGGCCUAUCAGCUUGUUGGUGGGGUGANGGCCUACCAAGGCGACGACGGGUAGCCGGCCUGAGAGGGCGACCGGCCACACUGGGACUGAGACACGGCCCAGACUCCUACGGGAGGCAGCAGUGGGGAAUCUUGCGCAAUGGGCGAAAGCCUGACGCAGCGACGCCGCGUGAGGGAUGAAGGUCUUCGGAUUUGUAAACCCCUUUCGGGAGGGAAGAUGGGACGGGCAACCGUUCGACGGGUACCUCCAGAAGCAGCCACGGCUAACUUCGUGCCAGCCGCCG